CAACUUCUUCAAUUACUACUACUUCAGAUUCUUCCUCCAAUUUCACCUCUACUUCAGAAUCUAGCAAUUUCGUUUUUUCAACUUCAGCCGCAGCAGGUUGUUCCUCUGGGACCACAACUUCAGGAUCUAGCAAUUUCAUUUUUUCAACUUCAGCCGCAACAGAAUGUUCCUCUGGUUUCACCUCAACUUCAGAAUCUAGCAAUUCUGUUUUCUCAACUUCCCGUGCAGCAGAUUGUUCCUCUUUUUUUACCUCAAUUUCGGGAUCUAGCAAAUUUGUUUUCUCAAUUUCGGACACAACAGAUUGUUCCUCUUGUUUCACCUCAACUUCAGGAACUGUUGAUUCUGGUUUACUUGCAUCUUUCACCACUUCUGACUCUUCAGUAUCUUUAUCUUUUACUAGAGCUGCUUCUGGUUCAAUCACAGGAAGAACUUCCAAUGACUCUUGUUGUUCCUCAACUACUUCAACAGAUUGUAUUUUCUCAACUUGUUCUGUAACUUCAGGUUGUUCUUUUGGUUUUGUUUCUACUUCAGGAACUACUGAUUCUGGUUCAACUUGUUCUGUUUCGGAUUGUUCCUUUGGUUUUGCUUCUACCUCAGGAACUACUAAAUCUGUUUCAACUUGUUGUGUAACUUCAGAUUGUUCCUUUGGCUUCUCGUCUGCUUUAGGAACUACUGAUUCUGGUUCAUCAACUUCUUUGGAUGCUGCUACUGAAACUUCAACAUCCUUCACAACUGCUUCUGAUUCUUGGAUAGAUAGAACUUCCGGUGGUUCCUGUGGUCUCCCAACUUCUUCAACUGAUUUUAAUUUUUCAACUUGUUCUGCAGCUACAGAUUCUUCCUCCUGUUUGAUGUCAGCUUCUAGAACAUGCAUCUCUGGUUUUUUAACUUCUUUGGACACUGCUUCUGAAUCAUCAACAUCUUUUACAAUAACUUCUUCAGAUUCUUUGGAAGGAAGAAUGUCUGAUAGCUCCUUUGGUUUCUCAACAACUUCAACGGAAGGUGCAGAAGCAUCAAUUAUCUCAGGUUGCUCAAGUUGCGUUUCCACCACAGAUGCCUUUGCUGGUUGCUCUAAUACUUGUGCAACAGAUUCAGUAGUUGGUUGUGUGACUUGUUCGCCAUUAACAGUGUCAGCUACUAACUCUGGAUCGCUUUGCCCAUGUGAAUGAGGAACAGGAUCUUUCUCUGCCUCAAUUUUAUCUUUUCCAGGAACAUCCACAACUGAAUCAUGCUCAAUCUUCAUCUCAACUGCUGGAGGUUUUGUCUGUUUAUCUUCUGCCUCUUCUUCCAAUAUAGAUAUCUGCUUUGCCUCACUUGACAGUUCCUCAGUUUCACCUUCUUUAACUUCCUUAGAUAAAAGAACAGUUUCUUGUUCCAUAGGCUUUACUUCUCCAAUCACCUUUGUCUCAAUUGGCUGCAAUGGAUGCAAGAUUAGCUAUUAACUUAAAGGAUGCAAAAGAUCAGAACUUCCAAGAUUUCAAAAUUAAAAAAGGUGAAGUAAUGGAAAGUGGAAGUAAUUUUGUCAGUGGAGAACAUUAUGAAAGAUUAAAAAAAAAGAGUAAAGACCAAUCAAUUAUCAAAAAAAUGCAAUAGUGGAAAGUAAAAAAAAGGCAAUCAAGCACAGGAAAUGUCACAUUUCCAUCUCUCCAGGGCCACUGCAUCUCAAGUUGAUAAGAAUUUCCAAGACUGACCCAACCUGUAUGAUCAUGGUCACAAUUUUUCUUAUAUAUAUCUUUUUAAUAAUAGAGGAAAAGAUGAUUAAACACUUUUUUUUUAUAAAAGCAUAAAGAUACUUUUGAAGUUUCCAAAUGUUGACUGUACAUAUAUACCAGAAUAUGAUGACCAGGAGGACUUUCAGUCUGUGGCAUCCAUCACUGAACCUUGUCAGCAGUAAACUGCUCUCAUAAUACUAACAAAUAAUUUCUUGAGUUUGUUCUUCAAAAUAUAUCAUUUCUAUAAUUCCAAAAAAAAGAAAGAAAGAAAGAAACAUGCAUAUGUAUUUGUAUAUGUAUGAGCAUGUAGGAACCAUGCAAAUCCCAGUUGCCAUCAUCUGAAAUACCUUGUACUCAUAAUCAAGAAAAUCUACUAAAUCAAAAUAUGACAAACUUCCAAAGGUUAGACUAUAAAGUUGGAUCCAAGAUUAUAAAGAUAAAACUUAAGAGUUUUUUCCAGAUAAUUCUGACAGGUCUACCUAUUAAUAGUAGAAUCCUUUCCACCAAAAGAAAAACACUCAUCAAAGAUUGACAUAGUACAUGGUAUAUAGAUGUUAAAAAUACAUAUCCUACCAUAUGCAACACAAAGGAGAAUCUGAAUCAAGUCCAUAGAGUGAAACAAACAUAUUCUUUUCUAGAGAUAAUACUAUGCUUGCAUAUGUUUGAACAAAAGAAACAAGAGGAGAAAAGGACUAAAGAAAAUCAAACUUGGGUUCUUGAUCAAAACACCAAAAGAACACAUAAAAAGUUGAUCACAAGUUAUUCAUAUAAAAAUUUAAGAAAUAAUAACAACCAUCGAGAACUCUAAAAAGAAAGUUGAUCACUUAGUACAGUUGUGUAUAUACACGCAUGUAUGUAAGACAUACAUACCUCUUCAGGAGUAGUAGUAGUGUGGAGUGAUGAUGUUGAAGAUUCAGAAGUAGCCAUGAGCAAUUGAAGAAGCAAAGAGAGAGUGUAUGUGAUAUGAUCUUUCAAAAGUAUGCAAGUAAGUUGAUAAGAGAUUCUUUCUGAGAGAGAAAAUAAUAAUAGUAAUGAUAUGACAGAAAAGGAAAUUGGGAAAAAAGAAAAGAUAACAGAGUUGGCAAAACUGACCAAAAUUAAAUAAAUAAAAGAAAAGAAAAGAAAGUAGCAAGAAGAGAACAGCAAAGAAAGCAAAAUAGUGAGUGACAGACUGUAUCACAUGAUCAAUCCAAUAUGAAUGAUUAGGAUUCCUAUUAAUUUUAUUUUACCUUUUCUAUAUAAUAACUUAGAAUAAAUAACAAAUCAAGACAAUAAAGAAUGGGGUUUGGUUUGGGUUCUGGUUGGAUGAUUAGGAAGUUUAUUGAGCGAAAAAGAAAGAAAGUGGAAUUUGCUAAUGGCUACCAGACAAAGGUCUUUUCAGAAGGGGACCAUUUCUGUUACUCCUAUACUAUACUUAUUAUAUAUAAAUAUACACACAUAGAGAGAUAGAGCUUUUAGGCUGUUCCAUUGCAUCCUUAGAUGAAUGACAGGUAUUUUAAUAUUUUAUUUGAUUUAUUAUACGACGCCGUUCUGCAAAGGAGUGCGUUUAACUAACCGCCACCUCCAUGAGAGAAGCCAGACGCGCCAUUUCAUUUCAAUUUUCAAGUGUUUAGCCGUUAAAGGAAUGGAACGAGUUUUCGGGCCGGUAGAAAUGAUAAUGGGCCUGGUAUUGCUGAAAUAAUUCCCCUUGUGUUUUCUUAGUGUAAAUCUUAUUGGCCCAAAAUUCACAAUUUUGAUCUGUAUAUGGAAGCCUUGAAUCCAAUGAUAAUGCUGGGCCAUUAAAAUGAUAAUUUUUCAUGUUGAAUCUACUAAACCAUGAGAUUUAAUUACCUUGUCCAUCUUAAAGAAUAGAUGUGAGUGGUAUGUCCAGUUUGAGGUAUGGGCCCUUGAAUUGAUCCAACAGCACAGUGUUAAAAGGGAAAGAGAUCAGAAAGAGACAAUCAAGCUAGGCCUAGAACUAGAAGAAAUGAUGGAUUGGAUACUGGAGUGGAGAGGCAGUGAGCAUUUCUUUGUAUGUUCCUAUGUUUGUACAGCUUUGAUUAGACACAAACUUUUGAUCAGAAAAUCUGUUCUGUGGCAAAGCUCUUUGUGGAGACUGGACACACAAAAGUUCCUCAAUCACUCCAUUUUGAGACACAUAAUCCUCUCUGAUAAGAUCCACCCCACUGACAUGUCUAGCAGUUUUUAUUUUUCUUUUGUUGGGUUUUUUCUCAGGAAAAGAAACAAGAAAGAAAGAAAGAAAAAGAGUAAUCAUGUAAAUGUGGCAAGAAAGUUGACUAUCAUUUCCCACUAUAUGGCUAAAGCAAACAUGUCAUUAUAGCAUAAACUAUGGAGACAAUUUCAACCAGACAGACACAAAGCUCUUUCUUUUUUAAUAAUUGAUAGGAUUAAAGGCCCCUUAAGCCCUUUUUUUUUCUCCUUUAUCAUUGAUGUUGCCUUCUAAUUAAAGUCAAUUUCCAUUAUAUUAAUCUCUGAAAACUUUUCCUUGUGUACUGUUAAUUGCAAAUACUUUCUGCAAUUUAGAAAAACAUCCUAUGAUUUACUGCUUUUAUACUUGACAAUUAAAACUAUUUUUUUUUUUGGUAUUUUAAUAUAUUGUUAAACGCCACAUGUAAAUUUAUAUUUUAGUGAUGACUCAUAUUAAAUAUAUAUAACAUUAUGUAAAAUUGAAGUAAUAGAAUACUAAAGUACUAAAAGAAAUUCAUUAUCAUUAUGUUUAUGUAAUGUGGGUUUCACACGAAAUAUCAAAAAAAAAAAAAACUAAAAGAAUAAAUGACGAAAUAUUUAAUUGAUUUAAAAGUGUAACAGCAUAAUUUUUUUUUUUUUUUUUAUAUAUAUAAUCUGUUUAUCUAGUUAAAAUUACUUGCAAACUGCUUUUAAUGUAUAUUUAUGAAACUAUGAUAAAAAGAAAAAUAGAAAAUCAGGGCCAUAUAGAAAGAAAUAUAGUUAUAAAGAAUAAGCUAAACAAUGAUUAUUAAUGAGAUAAUAAGGUUCUAUUUAUGGUAAUUAAGCAAAUGGGAUGAUAAAGACGUUCAUAUAAUUUCAGUCAUCAUCAUUUGUUGCUUUGACAAGACAAAAGUUGAGGCAAGUUUAGUUAUGAGUUAACUGAAAACUUAUUAGAUAUCCAUGUGCUUAUGUUUGUUAAUGGGCCAAUCAAGAAUGAUAAUAAUACAUUAAGGUCAUCUCACGAGGACCCCUCCCCCUAUUUAUUCAAUCCUAUUACGUUUCACUUGCCUAGGCAACACAAUGUGAGAUGUUUCUUACAAAUUCUAUCAACUCCCCACUUACCUUACUGAUGCCCUAAUAAUAAAACUUUUCUCCAAAUAAUGAAUAUAUAAAAAUAUUUUAAUAUUUAAUUAUUUAAAAUUAGUAAAUACUGUCACAAGUAAGUUGGGGUUUAGCCCCGGCCCAUAUGACUUGAGUUCAAUCCACCAGAAAUCCCUUGCCAAUACAGGAAUGCUAUCCAUAUUUAACUCCCACCAAGACUUUGUAAGCAGGAAGUUAGUUAAUUGACCUGGGAGUUUCACCCAUUUGAACUGCUUUUCAUAGUCCUGUAAUAAACUCAUCGCCUCUGAAAUCUAGUUAUUAAAAUAUAGGUUUCGACGGUUAAUUCAUUUAAACUUAAUUUGUUUCAUGUCAUAAAUGAAUUAUUUUGUUUUCGAUGUAAAUAAUUUACACCAUCUAUUUUUUAUCAGUGAUUGAUACUGUGAUUAAUUGAAAAUGAGCGCAGUAGAAAUGUUUCGUAUAACUGCUUGGCAUUAUAAAAUGUCAUUGCGGUAUUGUAAAUAGCCACGUGACUAUUGUAAUAUCUUCCAACAUUGUAUGAUGAGUGACCCUAAAUUAAUAAGGGUACUAAUUUAAUUUAAAGAACAAAAUUAUAUCGGAGGCGCGCAUAAUUGAUUCAAAAUUAAAAUUCAUGAAUUAUAUGUAAUUUUAUAUUAUUUAACUGCUAGGCGUAUAAAGUUGCCAGCCCUAUCUAGGUGUGCUCUGGUGGCUACAUCCUUUCUUGCUAACUUGUAGGCAUGACAUCCUUUGGCAGGAAUAGCAUAGCAUGUAUGGCGUUUGAUAACUUGUAAGCAGAGGGAAAAACUAAAAAGAAAGAAAGAAGGAGAGAAAAUCUGCAGUAGUGAUUUAAGGGUGUAGCCUAACUGCAGAAAGGGUUAAUUUUGUGGGUAAAGCAACAAAUAAUGCCAGUUCCAACUAUUAAUCUUCCAGAAAAGAUUAUAUUGUUGAUAAUAAUAGUGGAAAAGGACUUAGAACAUGAGUGUGAUGCCACUAUUUUAAGAGUAAUAGUUGCUCUUUCUUGUCAAUUAGUUGUCUGUCUAAGAAUCAACUUAGGAAGAGAUGCCUUUAAGGAUAAUGGAAAAAGGGUUCUCUAGUUUCAAGGGCAUAUCGAUUAUGUCCCCCUCAAAUUUCAAAAAAUGACCAUUGGAUUGUUAUCUUCCUUAUCUUUGCUGUUCAUGAAUCUCGAUUCACAUACUUCCCAUCAAUAAUACACACUUAAGUAGGCCAUUAUGCUUCCCUAAUUAUGUCUAUUUUUGUCUUACAAAGAUGUAAUUAUGAUUUACACCUUGUUUUGAAUUAUGAUUUAUUAUUCAAACUUCACACUUGAUGAUGAACCUCGAACCCUGCAUGUGGCUUCAAAUUCAAAGAGACAGGUCUUAAUGACGCAAGACUUCUUUCUGCAGAACUCAUAAACUCUAAAGUUGGCAGCAACUCGAGCAAAUUCCCCAAGUGAGAACUUCUAUUUCAUUUGAUCACUUACUGAUGUAAUUAUAUCUUAUCCAUAUUCAUACUUAUGUUAUGUUCUAAUAUGAUUUUACUGAGUUACUUAUUUAAUUGCACAAUCCAAUACAUAACACGGUUCACAAAACAGAGGAACCUUUAUCAGGAAACACCUUUUUUUUUUCUUUUUCUUUUUCUUUUUCUUCUUGCAGAUUAACCCUUUUGUUCAGAUCAAAGGUUCUUUCUUUUGCUUUUCAACUCCGAAGACAAUCCAAGUUAUUGAUGGUCUCAAGGCCCUACAAAUAUAGUUUGCUGUCACAUAUCCUAAUUAGUGAAGUCCCACAAAACAAUUCCUUAGUGGUUCCUAAUAAAUGUGUUCUUACAGCAGAUGAAUUCUGAGGGGACCAACAUGGCCACCAUUUUUCAAGUGUUUCAGAUCAAUAGUUUAUCCAUCUCCUUGAAGGAAACCCAACUCAUUAGCAAUAUUAUGUGACAAAAACACACAUCAAAUGGUUUUAGAGCUGAUUUGGAUUAGAUUUGUUGUUUAAGCAUUGUAUGGCUGCAGUUAUUAGCGAACAUAUAUUAAUAUCUUUCUUUUUCCCCCUGUCUUCGUCGGUCACCGACGAAUAUUUUUGUGGAAAUUAUACUUAACAAAUGUAAAACCAUAUAUAUAUAUAUAUAUAUAUAUAUAUAUAUAUUUGAGCCUAGUGAGAGAUUUUGGAAAGGAAUUAUAUAUGCAGUAUUUAGGAUUAACAGGGAGAAUUUUUUAUUUUUAUUUUUUGGUUUCAAAUCUUUGAGAAAGAUUGUUAUAACAGAGAAAAGCUGACUUCAUAAACAUACAGCAAAAAAGAACAUUAAGAAGUAGAGGU
rnacentral:lncRNA from 1 species